rnacentral:rRNA from 1 species
CCUACGGGUGGCUGCAGUGGGGAAUAUUGCACAAUGGGGGAAACCCUGAUGCAGCGACGCCGCGUGAGUGCAGAAGUAUUUCGGUAUGUAAAGCUCUAUCAGCAGGGAAGAAAGUGACGGUACCUUAGGAAUAAGCCUCGGCUAACUACGUGCCAGCAGCCGCGGUAAUACGUAGGAGGCGAGCGUUAUACGGAAUGACUGGGCGUAAAGGGUGCGUAGGUGGUUUGGCAAGUUAGUAGCGUAACUCCAAGGCUCAACCUUGGAACUACUACUAAAACUGUUGGACUUGAGUGCAGGAGGGGCAACCGGAAUUCCUAGUGUAGCGGUGGAAUGCGUAGAUAUUAGGAGGAACACCAGUGGCGAAGGCGGGUUGCUAGACUGUAACUGACACUGAGGCACGAAAGCGUGGGGAGCAAACAGGAUUAGAUACCCCAGUAGUC